rnacentral:rRNA from 1 species
AAUAGAUACCCAGGUAGUCCACGCUGUAAACGUUGGACACUAGGUGUGGCGGUCUGAUCAACGACUGCCGUGCCGAAGCUAACGCAUUAAGUGUCCCGCCUGGGGAGUACGGCCGCAAGGCUAAAACUCAAAGGAAUUGACGGGUCCCCGCACAAGCGGCGGAGCAUGCGGCUUAAUUCGAUGCAACCCGAAGAACCUUACCUGGGUUUGACAUCAUGGGAAAAGCCGUAGAAACACGGUGUCCGUAAGGGCCCAUGACAGGUGGUGCAUGGCUGUCGUCAGCUCGUGUCGUGAGAUGUUGGGUUAAGUCCCGCAACGAGCGCAACCCUUGUCCUAUGUUGCCAGCGGUUCGGCCGGGGACUCAUAGGAGACUGCCGGGGAUAACUCGGAGGAAGGUGAGGACGAUGUCAAGUCAUCAUGCCCCUUAUAUCCAGGGCUGCACGCAUGCUACAAUGGUCGGUACAACGGGCAGCGAUCCUGCGAAGGUGAGCGAAUCCCACAAAGCCGGCCUCAGUUCGGAUUGG